rnacentral:rRNA from 1 species
GAUGAACGCUGGCGGCGUGCCUAAUACAUGCAAGUCGAGCGAACGGACGAGAAGCUUGCUUCUCUGAUGUUAGCGGCGGACGGGUGAGUAACACGUGGAUAACCUACCUAUAAGACUGGGAUAACUUCGGGAAACCGGAGCUAAUACCGGAUAAUAUUUUGAACCGCAUGGUUCAAAAGUGAAAGACGGUCUUGCUGUCACGUAUAGAUGGAUCCGCGCUGCAUUAGCUAGUUGGUAAGGUAACGGCUUACCAAGGCAACGAUGCAUAGCCGACCUGAGAGAGUGAUCGGCCACCCUGGAACUGGGACACGGUCCAGACUCCUACGGGAGGCAGCAGUAGGGAAUCUUCCGCAAUGGGCGAAAGCCUGACGGAGCAACGCCGCGUGAGUGAUGAAGGUCUUCGGAUCGUAAAACUCUGUUAUUAGGGAAGAACAUAUGUGUAAGUAACUGUGCACAUCUUGACGGUACCUAAUCAGAAAGCCACGGCUAACUACGUG